CACAGCCCUUCAUUCUCCAAGCCAGUUCCUAGGUUGUAACUACCAAAUUUGUGGGAAAUCUACAGAUCUUCACUCACAUAAAUUACUAUAAUUCACUCUCAUGAAAAUUACCUUGUGUGCUAUUCAAUUAGACUAUAUAACAGAUAGAUUAAGGAAUGAGGUAUUUUUAAAAAACUUAUAGCAGGGCUGGGGAAUAUAGCUCACUUCGUAGAUUGCUUGCCUGGCAUGUACAAGGCCCUGGGUUCAAUCCCCAGCACCACACACACACACACACAAAAAAAAAAAUUAUAGCAACUCAAGAGAGGCUGAGGCAGGAAGCUCACAAAUUUGAGGCAACUUAGCAAGACCCUGUCCCAAAUUAAAAAUAAGGGCUGGGGAUGCAGUUCAAUGGUAGAGCUGGAAACACUGUUCCCCUUGUCUUCACUGACUAAAUUUCCUUCCUGGCAUUUACCAUUUCCUUUUCCAUUUGUUUUUGGGGGCGAGUGGCCAUGAGCUAGGUAUUUAGAAUAAAGAGAGGGAUAUACUGAGUCUCAAAGGAAAAGCCCAUGAUCAUC
rnacentral:lncRNA from 1 species